rnacentral:lncRNA from 1 species
AUCCAUUCUUGAAUCAAGGUUUUACUAAUAGAAAGUGUGUUUCCCACUGUACAAAGAAUAAAGGGAAAUAAACUUAAGAAACCAAACUGAAUAGAUGAAAGAAUUCCUCUUUCCUUAAUUACAAUGUAUUUAUUUUGUGUGCACAUGUGCAGCCGUGGUGCUCAUGUGAAGAUCAGAGGAUGUCUUGUAGGAGUCGAUUCUCUCAUUCCACCUGUGGGUCCUGAGGAUCAAACUCAGACAUCAGUGUUCAUGAAAGCCACAUUAUACAAUAGGCCAUCCUGGCCACCCCAUGGCCAUUUAUGAUUUAAGUCCAAACUUUGGAAGUAGUGGAGGCAGGAGAGAAAGAAGGGGACGGGGACACACACACACACACACACACAAAGGCACACAUGCACACACACAAACAUGACUCUUUCCUUUUAAAAGAAAGACAGAAUCUUUCACAAAUCAUCUUAGCUUUCUUGUCUAUGUAUCCUUGGCUUGAAUUGGAUUCCAUGGCCAUUUUAGGCUACAAGAUAGGCUGGGAUAGGAAAGACCUGACUUUGUAUCCUCUAUAGCAUGAAGAGAGGGAGAGACAGAGACAGAUGGAGAGAGACAGAGAGAGAUGGAAAGACACAUAGAGACACACAGACAGAGACACAGAAAGACAAAGAGACAGAGAGAAGGGGGGCUGACAAAGUUGACCACAACCUUGCAAAGGUUCCCUACCAACUGUAUGAGUCUUGUGAGACGGAGCACCUCACAAGUCCGGCAAACAGACCCAUUACCUCAGAGACAGCAAGGGUAAAGAAGAGGACAAGGAUCCACACCAAGCCAGUGCUUCAAGACUCCGGGAAAUUGCCCAGGCUGGGUGGAGUUCAUUCUGUGUGUGCUCCACACUGCAAUACAGCUGAGGGUCCCUGGAAACACUUACCCUCGGUACAUACCUCCCAGGGCAUGCUGAGCCGCAUCACAGCACAGCACCCAGCCCUAGGCAGAAGAGGGGCACAGCAGGUCUGCCAGACUUUGUACCUCGGGCGCUGUACACUCCACAUAUUUAUUUCCAAGAAACUCAAGCGAGACAGAAAGGACAGGGGCCAGCUGAUGCCAUCGGAUGGCUCUGCUGCACACCUCAGAGAGAGAUACAU